CCUGGCGGUGCGCCUUAUGCAUGCAAGUCGAGCGAAGCUUUUCAGUAGUUUACUACAGAAAAUGACUGAGCGGCGAACGGGUGAGUAACGCGUGAGCAAUCUACCUUAGUUACAGGGAUAGCCCGAGGAAACUCGGAUUAAUACCUGAUAUUCUUUAUUACUCGCAUGAGAAUAAAAGGAAAGGUCAGCCGAACUAAGAUGAGCUCGCGUUCUAUCAGCUAGUUGGUGAGGUAAAAGCUUACCAAGGCUACGACGGAUAGCUGGUCUGAG
rnacentral:rRNA from 1 species